rnacentral:rRNA from 1 species
GGAGCAAUCCUGGUGGCGAGUGGCGAACGGGUGAGUAAUGUAUCGGAACGUACCUUUCAGUGGGGGAUAACGUAGCGAAAGUUACGCUAAUACCGCAUAUUCUGUGAGCAGGAAAGCAGGGGAUCGCAAGACCUUGCGCUGAUUGAGCGGCCGAUAUCAGAUUAGCUAGUUGGUGAGGUAAAGGCUCACCAAGGCGACGAUCUGUAGCGGGUCUGAGAGGAUGACCCGCCACACUGGAACUGAGACACGGUCCAGACUCCUACGGGAGGCAGCAGUGGGGAAUUUUGGACAAUGGGGGCAACCCUGAUCCAGCCAUGCCGCGUGAGUGAAGAAGGCCUUCGGGUUGUAAAGCUCUUUCAGCCGGGAAGAAAUCACAUGGGUUAAUACCCUGUGUGGAUGACGGUACCGGAAUAAGAAGCACCGGCUAACUACGUGCCAGCAGCCGCGGUAAUACGUAGGGUGCGAGCGUUAAUCGGAAUUACUGGGCGUAAAGCGUGCGCAGGCGGUUUGUUAAGAUAGGCGUGAAAUCCCCGGGUUCAACCUGGGAACUGCGUUUAUGACUGGCAGGCUAGAGUAUGGCAGAGGGGGGUGGAAUUCCACGUGUAGCAGUGAAAUGCGUAGAGAUGUGGAGGAACACCGAUGGCGAAGGCAGCCCCCUGGGCCAAUACUGACGCUCAUGCACGAAAGCGUGGGUAGCAAACAGGAUUAGAUACCCUGGUAGUCCACGCCCUAAACGAUGUCAACUAGGUGUUGGGUGGGUAAAACCAUUUAGUA